UACGGAGGGUGCGAGCGUUGUCCGGAAUCAUUGGGCGUAAAGGGUGCGUAGGUGGCGCGACAAGUCCGCGGUGAAAGCUCGAUGCUCAACAUCGAGUCGGCCACGGAUACUGUUGGGCUUGAGCACUGUAGAGGCUAAUGGAAUUCCGGGUGUAGCGGUGGAAUGCGUAGAGAUCCGGAAGAACACCGGUGGCGAAGGCGGUUAGCUGGGCA
rnacentral:rRNA from 1 species